rnacentral:rRNA from 1 species
GCAAGUCGAGGGGCAGCACAUGAAGCAGCAAUGCGGAUGGUGGCGACCGGCGCACGGGUGAGUAACGCGUAUGCAACCUACCUACAACAGGGGGAUAACCCGUUGAAAGACGGACUAAUACCCCAUAACACAGGGGUCCCGCAUGGGAAUAUUUGUUAAAGAUUAAUCGGUUGUAGAUGGCAUGCGUUCCAUUAGCUAGUUGGUGAGGUAACGGCUCACCAAGGCAACGAUGGAUAGGGGAACUGAGAGGUUUAUCCCCCACACUGGUACUGAGACACGGACCAGACUCCUACGGGAGGCAGCAGUGAGGAAUAUUGGUCAAUGGACGCAAGUCUGAACCAGCCACGUCGCGUGAAGGAAGACGGCCCUACGGGUUGUAAACUUCUUUUGUAAGGGAAUAAAGUGAGUCACGUGUGAUUUAUUGCAUGUACCUUACGAAUAAGGAUCGGCUAACUCCGUGCCAGCAGCCGCGGUAAUACGGAGGAUCCGAGCGUUAUCCGGAUUUAUUGGGUUUAAAGGGUGCGCAGGCGGGAGAUUAAGUCGGCGGUGAAAUUUUGCAGCUCAACUGUAAAAGUGCCAUCGAUACUGGUUUUCUUGAGUGUGGAUGAAGUAGGCGGAAUUUGUGGUGUAGCGGUGAAAUGCAUAGAUAUCACAAGGAACACCGAUUGCGCAGGCAGCUUACUAAACCAUAACUGACGCUCAGGCACGAAGGCGUGGGGAGCAAACAGGAUUAGAUACCCUGGUAGUCCACGCAGUAAACGAUGAUUACUAGCUGUUUGCGAUACAAUGUAAGCGGCUGAGCGAAAGCGUUAAGUAAUCCACCUGGGGAGUACGUUCGCAAGAAUGCAACUCACAUGAAUUGACGGAA